rnacentral:misc_RNA from 1 species
CAAGAAACGAGGCUACGUGCCCCGCUCUUUACCUUGCCUACUGCACUAUCUGUUGCUUCCUGGCGGCGGUUUGCCUGCCGCCAGGGACAUUGUAAAGCCCUGUAUAAGCAUUAAAAAACUGAAACAAACCGAAUCGUG